UAGCUCACUAGUCGAGUGGCACUGCGCCGAAAAUAUACCGGGGCUAAGCAUAAUACCGAAACUGUGGGUGCACCCGUAAGGGUGCGCGGUAGGAGAGCGUUCUAAGGGCGUUGAAGGUCGAUCGUGAGGACGGCUGGAGCGCUUAGAAGUGAGAAUGCCGGCAUGAGUAGCGAAAGAUCAGUGAGAAUCUGAUCCACCGUAUGACUAAGGUUUCCUGGGGAAGGCUCGUCCUCCCAGGGUUAGUCGGGAUCUAAGGCGAGGCCGCAAGGCGUAGUCGAUGACAAGCAGGUUGAGAUUCCUGCACUAGUUUAUUUUGUUUAAGCGAUGGAGGGACGCAGGAGGCUAAGGAAAGCGCACGGCUGGAAAAGUGCGUCCAAGCCGCAAGUCUGGUGGCGAGUGAAAUGCUUGCGACCAUAAGGACAAGCGGUGAUGGGG
rnacentral:rRNA from 1 species